UACGAAGGGGGCUAGCGUUGCUCGGAAUCACUGGGCGUAAAGCGCACGUAGGCGGAUUGCUAAGUCAGGGGUGAAAUCCUGGAGCUCAACUCCAGAACUGCCUUUGAUACUGGCAAUCUCGAGUCCGGGAGAGGUGGGUGGAACUGCGAGUGUAGAGGUGAAAUUCGUAGAUAUUCGCAAGAACACCAGUGGCGAAGGCGGCUCACUGGCCCGGUACUGACGCUGAGGUGCGAAAGCGUGGGGAGCAAACAGG
rnacentral:rRNA from 1 species